rnacentral:rRNA from 1 species
UACGAAGGGGGCUAGCGUUGCUCGGAAUCACUGGGCGUAAAGGGCGCGUAGGCGGAUGGCACAGUCAGAUGUGAAAUUCCCGGGCUUAACCUGGGGGCUGCAUUUGAUACGUGUGAUCUAGAGUGAGGAAGAGGGUCGUGGAAUUCCCAGUGUAGAGGUGGAAUUCGUAGAUAUUGGGAAGAACACCGGUGGCGAAGGCGGCGACCUGGUCCUUGACUGACGCUGAGGCGCGAAAGCGUGGGGAGCAAACAGG